AAGAAGACAUAAAAGGACGCAGCACUCACCCCUGCUGCUGCUGUCCUCUUGCUCUUCCUAUGGUUUAUGCUGCGUGCAGGACAUCUCUUCUCUAUACCUUCUCUUUUUCCUUCAAAGCUCCCUUUUCUCCCUGAGCACUUUUGUACUUUCCUUUUUUUAAACAACAGAAAAACAUUUCUGUCCUAAAAUAAUUGGUAACCUUUCACAUCCGUCAAAUUUCUUGACCAAUUCAUAGCAGGGGACAAAUAGCCUGGAAGACACUGCUGGUCUCUAGCCCAUUCGAUAGCAAGCAGACACCCUCUGACUGAGGACUGUGAGCCCUGCACGCACCAAGAUAGUCCCUCGGCAUCACCAAGGCUGUAGGGCUCGGUCUAUGAGAUGGGCUUAAAAGCAGUGUGCAGCCUGGGGUGAAGACCACUUGGGAGGGAGAAGGGGGGGGGAGGAAGAAAAUGGGGGGGGUGGGUAAAUGGGAGGGAAGAAGGGGAGCGCUCACGCUGAGUCCAUGCUUGUCCCGCACUCUGCUCUUCACAGUGGCCCCCUUUGGCCCCCCAGCACCCAUGAAGUUGUCCCCCCAAAGUGUAAUUCAACAGGAGCCCCCUUGGCAAAACUCAGCAGUCCUGUGGCUAAACACUGUAUCCCAUUCGCUCUGUGCUCUCAGCACGCACCCUGCCUUCACCCCUUCCUGGAGUCCUUCCCUCCCUUGGCCUGGGCUUGGGGGCAGGGAGGGGUCAGGAUUAUGUGCCUGGUCUUUCCCAGAAACCAUUUGAUAAUUUUUUUACAGCUGAGAUAUUUUUGAGCAGGUUUUGAUUUUUAUUAGAUCUUUUUGAUAACAAAAAAUAGGUGUUUCUUAUAACAAAUGAAACAAUGUAACUAUAAAUGAAAAACAAUAGUUCUUCCCCCAAUCCUGCCUCACAUGAUUAACAAUGGCCUGGUUAUUCCUUCAGUCAUUCAAAUAUAUAUGUAAUAUCACUACAUAUAUAUAUGUAGUGUGAUCACAAUAUAUGGCAUGUGUUUUGGAUACACAAGCUUAAAUAUCACAUAGUUACUCUUAUAUGAGAAACCCAAAACAUACAGAACAAUAUGAUAGGAGGGAGAUAGAUGUUCUGCAAAUGAGAAGGGGGACCAAGCAAUGUGAGGAGGGAAGAUUAAAAAAAAAAUUAAGAUGUGUUGUGUACGUGUCCCAACUCUACGUGGGGAAUGUGACCAUUAGGUACUGCAAACAUGUAUUAGUAAAAGGUUAAAAAACACUUACAGAAAAAUACCACCCCCCAGCUUUGAACACUUAUCAUUCUUGCCACUUUCUGAAGUGGUUCUGGAAGUCCUCUUUCCCGAGUGACUUUAUCAGGUGUGAUUAAAAAAAAAUAGUGUGGGGCCGGGGAUUUAGCUCAGUGGUUCCAGCUCCUGCUUUGCAAGUACAAGGUCAUGAGUUUGAUCCCCAGUGCCCCCCCAAAAAACUCAAUGAAUGCUGGUGCUGAAUGCUAUCCAACAGAAAGAUAGGCUCACAAAAAAUACAUUAUGCUGUGUCCUCACCCAUCUUCUUCACUAGAUCUGGCACUGUGCAGCUUCUGGCUCUUUUCUAAAGUCAAAAUGACCAUGAAAGGAAAACGUUUUGAAAAAGAUUCAGGAUGUGGAAGCAGCCACAACAGCCAACUAAAGACACCCAGGAAAGAGGACUUCAGACCUGCUUCAGAACAGUAGGACAAGUGUGUUUGAAGCAAAGUGACAUAUUGUGAGGGGGAUUAAUAGCAAUAUGUCUUUGCUGUAAUGCUUUUUAAAAUUUGCAUAUUAGCCACAUUUUUUGAUCACACUGCAUGUACUUUUUUGGUACCAGGGAUUGAACUUGGGACCUUUUGAGGCAGGCAACGGCACCACUGAGCUAAGUCCCCAGCCCCACACUGCACAUCUUAAAGCUAACGUUUUCUUUUAAUGUCAUGGAAUUUAGUAUAGAUGCCAAAAUCUCCAGAGUGGCUACCAAAAUGCCAAGCAUAACUGUCACGUUCCCCACGACCAAUCCCAUCUGCAGAUGGAGGGACCAGGCGGUGGUGGAGCUGGGGCCCCAAAGCACACUGGCUGGUCACACUUGUGCCUGCUGCCCUGCCCUCCUCCUAGGGGCAGACUCUGGGGCUGGCCUGAAGAAGGGCUGGAGAAAAUGAUUCUUAUUCUCUGGCAGGUAUAUUUUCCCCAAGCACCUGGAUUUUAAAGGGGCAGAUGCUGCCUUUUUGAAGCAUGAGACAAAGAUCAAGUAGAUGAAUCUCAGGGGUGGUUUCCUGCUUUCCAUUUCCUUUGAAGUUACUGGGAAUAAUGGGGUUAGGAUCUGUGGGUUAGGGUAUGGGGAAGCCCCCCAGGUUGAGGCACUGAGGCCUGGGGUGGAGCCACAGAGAGGGGCCUGGCCCAGCUUUGGGGCCUCUUCACAUUGGACAUUUCCCCCUCAGGCUCCUGCCAAAGCCCUGAUUUUUUGUUUUACUUUCCCCCCUCCUUGCUCUUUAUUUCUGAAAUUUCUAUUUGAAGCUAAGAGAUUUCUUCCAUCUAAACUCAAGACAGCUACAGUAAGCCAGGAUUAACUCUCCCUUCAACCUUUGAGAAAUGGUCUCAGGAUAGGGGCAAGGAUGUUUAGUUUGCCAGGGAGUAAUAAGCAUCUGAGGUUACUCAUCAGUCCCUUAGGUGAAAACCCAGGAGGCUGCCAGAACCAGCCAGCACCUCCUGUCCUGGCCCUCAGGUUGCUCAUGGCUCAAAUGAUAGUGUUUUCUUUGCCCCUCAAGGUCUGACAGGCAUUGCUUGUCUUCUAUUUCCUAGUUGCAAGGUAUUUUUUUCAAUUUGGAACAUGUGUUCUAAUUUGAAAACGAAUGAGUUUUCUUCAGUAAAACUUGCCACCUUUCAAAGAGGUUUGCUCUAACCCAAGCUUAGACACUAGUGGCCAGAGCCAGAGGUUUGGGUGGAGAUGGGCCUGCUGGCUGUGUGCCCCCACUUUGGACUCCACCAUCUUUGGGCCCACCAUGGCCUGGUUAUGACACACACAUGGCCUUGCCCACCACGGAUCUGGAGCCACUUCUGCCAAAGACUGGAGGAAUAAGAAAAGCCAGUCCAGCCUGUUGGAUCAGUAACACAGAUAAGCAAGAGUAAGAAAGCUGUCCGUUCCUGAGUAAAAACACCAAAGCUCCACAACCCCCUGUACCUUCACAACACUGCAGAGUAAGCCAUGGCCCCCAAUUGUACCCCGAGGAUGCUGCUGCCCUAGGUAGCAACACUGCCAGCAGCCUCUACCCAAGGUAGAAAUGACUGUCAUCUACUCGUUUCAGGAGAGCAACGGGGUCCCCCAAGAAAUUAAGGUCUUUUUCAAAAUAGCAUUCUGGGGUCCCUUUUUGAACCUCUGUAGCUGUCAAUUCUACAUGGCUCUGCGGGGCUGGGAUGAAGCCCGGUGGGAUUAAGGAGACUUGGAGAUGUUUUAGAAUAAGCAGCUUCCGACUAUUAGUAACUUCACACCUACGGCUAAGGCUCAACCCUCCCUGCCCCCUUUCUUAGCCCAAAAGGACAUGAUCAUUCUGUUGUGGGUGUGAAGCAGCAGGUGCACCCAUCUGUGCUUCUACACAGAAUAGGACCACACACCCUCUCCAUCCCCACCAAGCCCCCGAAGGAAGUGUAUGACUCAUGGAUGCCUAUAGAAGUGUUAUCAGCCUGCGCACACAUGUGUGUGCCUGUACAUGUGUAUGUGUGUCUACAAACACAUGUAGAUGCAUAUCCUCUCUUCCUACUGAUUCUGCUCCACAAAUUUUUGCCAAAUCUGAUAACCAUGCUUUUUCAGUUCUGUCCCAUCCAGGUCUUCAGGUACAUGACUUUCAAAAAUCAUAAGAACAAAAGUCAACUUAUUUAACCUCGACAGUUAUAGGCUAGAGAGCCACUGUUUCCAGCUGUCCUUGUUGGCCCAGACCUCUCCAGGGUAUCCCCCUCCCAGAGUUCCCCAGAACCACACCGUCAACCAGCACGCACGGCAGGACAGCCAGCUCCCAGGGUUCCUUCUGGGUUGUGUUAUAAAGUCUGGCAGAGACAUCAACACAUGUCAACAUGUUCCUUUUGGUGACAUGUUUGUCUUUUCCUUGUUAGCUUUGGUUCAAGGCUGUAAAUCCAUAAGAGGAAGCGGUUUCCAAGCCUAAGCAAAAAGUGAGCAGAUGCACUUCAUGGACUUUGGGGUUUCUCUGUGCAGAUCUUCCCCUCCAUCACUUACCUCCCCAUUAUUUUUCUUAGAAAUCCAAAUAAAAAGGAUAUUUGGUGAUCAAAGUGAAUUCAACAGGCAGGGCAUGAAUGGAUACAAACCACCAAGCUCCCAGUGAGCUAUGUCUAUGGUCAGAUGUUGAUGAGAUCCAUCCUGGUCCCCAUAUUUGUUGCCUCUGAAGGGAUUGGAUCCUUCUCUCUGCUUUUUCAUCUGAGCCUCUGCAGUUCUCUUGUUCUUUGCUCUGUUCUGUCUCUGCUCUGGUUUGAACCCUGCUAUGUCAGCUCUCUUGUCUCCUUUUUAUUAUUCAAACCGUCUUUGAGCUGUUGGCAUUAGUUCUGCAGGGUGCCUGGGAGGGAAUUCUGAAAGCUCCAAAAUGGUCCCCCUCUACCUCCAGUGGAAGAGGAGGACCCAGGAAACCCAGCAAAACAAGUCCGGUUUUAUUGGUUCUUCCUCUGAGUAAAAAACUGCUCAAGUUUUGAACAAAUUCGUAUACAGCAUAAACACUUAUCCAGAGUUAAAUCUAAAUCCAUCCAGGCAGUUUCAUGUUGACAAAAGGUAAGGAUUUACCAUGUUAGGGUAUCCAAAAGAAUUUGCCAUAGACUCUGAAGAAAUUUAAAGCAGAAGACUGCACAUGGCAGGGAAGAGCAUGUGACACAGGUGACCAGGUUCUGACCCACAACUGAUUCUGGGCACCUGUGAACAAGUUACUACAUCACUGUAAGUUUCAGUUUCCUCAUCUAUAAAAUUGGGGUAGGGUUUAAUCUUCAAUUUCUAUGGAUUCCAAAAAUGUUUUCCAUAAAUAAUAUUAAAAUAAGUAAGAAUCGGUCUUCUCCCAAGGCACUUAUUCUGAGAGAAAAAGACAUAUUUAUUGGGAUACACAUCUCCUGGUUUUUUAUUUUCUAAAAAAGAUUUUCAUUACUUUAUAGUCACACCUCAUAUAUUCCAGCUUCUGUUAGAAGCCUUUUAUGACUCUGUCAUUCAUAAAUUUGUCCGAACUCUUUUUAAUCCAUUUACAUUUCCUGUCUGCACAGCCUCUCAAGGUAAUGAGUUCCAUAACUUUAUUACGUGCUAGGAGAGAAGUAUUAUUUCCUUGUUUUCCCUAAACUUACCUCAAGUUCCAAACUGCCUGCUUCCCCUAGGAUUUCAGAAUUGGAUGACCAAGUUCAUCCAUAAAGUUCUCCUUAUAAACUGAAGGUAAAAUCAUUUUAGGUGGCUUCGUAAAGUGGCAGCCCACCCCAUACCUUCCCCUGACUAUUCGAGUCAUAUGACAAAUAGUUCAUACCAUGAACGGAGCUGUGGAUGGUGUAGAGAUGCCCUGGUUCCAAAUGACCAUGAGUCAGAAGAGCCUCAAAGUCUGAAGCACAGGCUGCAGAGCAGACCGAUCAGGCAUCCAUUCCAGCCCCUGACUGUGUGGUGCCCUGGACCUGCACUCCCUCAUUUGGAAGAUGGAAAACACUACCUACCUCAGGACUUGCUGGUCUUAAGAGAAUCCAAAAACAGUGCAGAAGAGGCCUUACCCACCCACCUUUGGCCCUGAUGGUGAGAGACAUGCUCCAAAGAACAGGAAGGAAACCAUCACUUUCACAACUGACUUUGUGUAGCUCCCAGCAAGGACAUCAGAAGAGGUGACCCACAUUGCAAGAAUGAAAUGGAGGAGCCAGCCUGCCAGGGGACGCCACUCACCUGUCACCAGAUCCUAUGCUCUUGUGACACCUGUUUUCCCUAGAAAUAAUUCCUACCAUUGGUGAAGCUCCUCAAGUUCCCAUGGCCUAGGGCAGGACCUGUACCAUGUGCCAAAUUCUGUGCUGCUGCUUCUGCGAAGGACACAAGAACAGCACAUGCUUGGGGAUUGCCCUUCCUGGAGGAGAUGGCACAGGAGCAGCUGGAUAGGACAGUGAAGGGCCUGCAGUGUGGCUGGAGCUCUGUGUGUGUUCCCCAGGGUGGAUGGGGAACCCCAGGAACUGGAAACAGGCCAGGAGAAGAGAUGACACUCAGAGAUAUGACUUAAGUAUAAGGCUGUGACAAAAUGAGAAACUGGAGCCAGGGAUUUAUCUCAGUGGUUCCACUGCCUGCCUCGCAAGCACAAGGUCCCGAGUUAGAUCCCUGGUACCAAAAAACCAAAAACAAACCAAAAAAAUGAACCGAAUAGAACCUCUUAGAAGGAGUAAAAAUAGCCGAAAGAGUUCAACGUAUCUGGCCAUUAGAGGGAAUACAAAUUAAAAUAAUAUUGAUAUUCCAUCUUGCCCCAGAAAGAAUGGCCAUCAUCAAUAAAUCAAUAACAAAUGCUGAUGGGGGGUGGUGGUAAAGGAAUUCUUCCUACACUGUUGGUGAGAAUGUAAACUGGUACAACCACUAAUGGAAGUCAGCAUGGAGAUUCCUCAAAAAACUGAAACUUGAAAUUCCAUUCCACUCAGUUAUUUCCCUUCUAAGCAUCUUCCAGAGAGAGUCAUCAUACUACAGUGAUAUAUACACACCCAUGAUUACAGCACCAUAGCUCACAGUAGCUAAAUCUUGGAAGCAGCCUAUAUGUUCAUCAACAGAUGAAUGGGCUGAAAUUUUACUGGAGCUUCCUUUCUGGGCUAACAUUUUAAGUCAUUCUGCUGGGCUCUUUGCUCUUGAUUCUCAACGUAAAUUGGGCUAAAAACCCCCAACAGUAGCCAUGCCACAGCCUCAUUAGACUGCCGUGAAAUUUCUUCUGCCAGAUUAGUUAGUCCGCCACCCUAAAUCUGUUUCAGGCAAAGUCUCUGGACAACAGAAAAAUGCAGACAAACCUUCUCCCAAGGCAUAACCCACAUCAUCUGGAGUGCCUUCUUCCCAGCAGAAACCUCCUAAGCCUGUUUCUAUCCGAAUUCUGGUCUUCUGAGCUCUGGCCAGAAUCUCCCAUCAAGUACAGCCUCAGGCAUUCCAGCUCUGUUUUCAGCCAUCUGCAAACCUUUCCUAACUCUUCCCCUUCCCACAAGCCAGCUCCAAAGGCUCCUAAACCACAUGGUCAAGUAUAGCCACAGCAAUGGCCCCACACACUGGAGACCGAAGGAUUCAGUCAAAGAUCUGGAGUUCACUGCAGUGUCCCAUUGAAGUCAGUAUUAGGAAGCCAGUUGGUCUUCGAUGGAAGGCAGAAGAAUAUACACCAGAAGGCUGAAGGCUCUGCACCAGACCCUAAAGAGUCUGACCUGGAAGCCAGGAGAUAACAUCCAAGGUGAAGAUGAAGACUAGAGCUCCUCUGAAGAAACAGAAGCAAAUCCAUCCCUCGUCAUUUCUCCUUUAUACCAUCCAGGCAACAAGUCCCCCUAGGGUAUGAAAUUGCUGAGGCAAUUUAGUUGAGCUUCUCUUACUCAAGUUGACACAGAGAGCAAAAUAGAGAGAGAGGUCCUUUGGCCCUUCUCCAUUGUGGAAAGUUAAGUUACACAGAUGUCAGGGCAGGCAGUCAGAAAUGGGAGAAGGCAAUGACCUGAGAGGCCAGGGACAAGUGCAGCAGUGGGUGCCUGUCAACACCAGUCCUGACAACCUCUUUGCAAACCAUUUCCUACCAAAGCAUCUGUUCCCGUCACUGUCUAAAACAUUCCAAUGAAUCCCAUUCCUCUCAGGGGACAGGGACAGAAGCCCUUCCUGUGGUUUGUGGUGAAGCCAUUGAGGUCCUCUGUGACAGGCACUGGACCUCCUCAGCACCUCCUCAGCACCUCUGCUCCAGCUGCCUUCUGCAGCAGGAUAACUGCUCUAACACAAGCACCUCUUCUUUCCAGAACAUCCUUUUCCCUCCCCAAUUACUCCCCUUCUUUGUCUCUGCCAGUUCUCAGCAACUCUCCCUUAGAGCAUUCAUCCCAGAAGAAAUUCCUUAUGUUGCAUUUUUUUAUUUGACUUACUGAGCUCUUCCCCAUUGUCCUCUCUAUCCUGAGGGCAAGAACAAGGAGGCCAUCUGGAUUCUGCUUGCAGUCUUAUCUCAAGGCCUGGCUCAGCUGGCUCCGAGAAGCUGCUCAGUAACCCUUUGUUGGGUAAAUAAAUGGAAAAUGAAGAAGCUAAGGAAUGAAGGCAGACUAAGAUUGCUUCUUUCACCCCGCCGUGUCCAAUCCACCUUCAAAAUGAGGGUUCUGCCUAUAUCUGAUCACUUCUCCCCAUCACUGGCCAGGCGUAGGCCACCAUUGACCUCACCAGGAUGACCAUAAGAGCUUCCUCUUGGGCUUCCCUGGAUCCCUAGUUCAUUUCAGACCAGGCAAUGAGAACCCUUUAAUACAAACACCAAACUUGACCCCAUCCAAGUACUCCCUACAACAGAGGACUGGGACAUUUUCUUGCGGCCCGGCCCUUAAGAUGCUUGGCUGUCAUUCCCAACCCAUCUCCUGCCCCAGCUACUCUGGACACCGUGCUGCUGCUCCACACCCACCGCUGCCUUGUCUCAGGGACCCAAUAUGCCUGCCCGGAAUAUAUUUCCUCAGUUGCUGCCUUCCCUCUUCAGGGUCUCUGCUCAAUAGCUACCUUCUCCAAAAGCUGCUCCUGGCUAUAUCUGAGCUAACAUGCCCUGUCCUACCCCCAGUGCUUUGUCACCUACAGCUUUACUUUACCCCAUAGGGACUGUGACUUUUUACAUAUUACAUGUGUCCUGUCUUGUAUCUCCAAGAAGCUUAGAAAGCCCCACAAAGCAAACGUCUAUUGUUCUACACUAUAUUUGGAGCCAGAAAAGAGGCACAUGACAGUUGUUGAGUAAUUGUUUGCUUGCAGAUUGAAUAACUGGCAGGAGAGAGCGUGCACUGUGCGUUGUUGCCUGUCAUACAGUAGUUGCUUAACAAACUAUUAACUAACAGUGCUAUUACAUUUCCAAAGAUGCAUCAUCAUUAAAACCAUGGCAAAAUGAUUAGUUGUGUGGAUUAAUUUCUAAAUAUUUGGGAAUUUUUCUAGUCCUCUUUAAAUAAUUCAAAUUGAAUUCCACAGUAGUCAGAAUGCAUACUCUAUUAGUUCAGUCCUGCCUUACAGAGCAGCCACUGAGCAAGAGUAUGGCGAUGGAAGGUAAAGCAAGGAUAGGCUGAUUGGGACUGGCAUUUUUGAUCUCCAGUUUUCAAGACUGAUUAUUUUCCCAUUAGAUCUUAUUGGGGGGGGAGGGAUACAGGUAAUACAUAUGUUGACUUGAUUCUGUUAAAGUACCCGCAUCCUAUAUCUUACAUGAAGUAAAAUAUUAACUCAAGUGAAAGAUUGGGUGUGUAAUCUCUAGACCAGUCACAAGAUAUAGAUUGGGUGUGUAAUCUCUAGACCAGUCACAAGAUAUAGCCAAAAAGUGAAUAGAUAAAUUAUUCAAAUAAUCCAAAACAAGGCAGGAAUGUAAGGGAGAAAAACCGAGGGAAAAACAAAACAUAAUAAAAUGGUAGACCUAAAUCCAAGCAUAUUAACAGUUCCAUUAAAUAUAAAUUGCCUAUACAUAACAGUUAAGACAGAUUCACGAGAUACAUGAUCUGUAUCUCAGUGACAAUCCUCGUGUGGUGACUACUGAGGAGUCUGGGGACAAUGGUUUGCUGGGGGCAUGUGUUCCAAAUAGAGGAAAAAGAGGGGAACAGAUUGGUCCAGAAAGAGUUUAAUGCAGAGGCUUAUUAUUCUUGUGUGGAAAAUUGACUCAUAGUCACCAAAUGUUGACCAACUUUAGUUGUUUUGCCAGAUGACCACCUGCUGGAUUGGGUGGUACACUGCCAUUUCCCCCCUCUCUCUAGGCAUGAAUACCCUGGGACUUGCAUAGCUGCAUGUUGGAGGCCGAGGGAAGUCCUAACCGCUAAGCACCUAAGUCUAGGAGUUAGCCUCAUUUAGCUCAGGUUUUGCCUCUGCACCAGGAUGGGAAACUUCCUACAGUUACUUAACCCUCUGCUUUUGGGACUUCCAUUCUUUGCCCAGAGAAAUCUCACCUUCACUUCUGGUGCUGGUGCUGUUGCUGUUGCCCUGGCAACUGCCAUAAGAAGAACUGGGCUUUGUUUAGAGGCAUGAUAGGAUCUCACCUACCAGAAACUCUCACUAGCUGACCAAAGCUAACGCCCAUGGUUUCUAGAGAAAUACAUAUCAUGAUGGAUGUGCUUUCUACACAGUCCAAUGAAGACAUUCAUUGUACUUAAUGGUCCUAUAUAUCAGGCUCGGUGUAAUGUUCCAAAAUAUUUUAGCACCACGGAAAAGCUUUAAUUCUUUAGAGACAUCAUAUUUCCCUUUAGGCUAAGGCUGCUGGGAACAUUUGAGUGAACCUUGGUUAUCAAAGGAUUUUACUCUGUCUUGGGCAUCUCUCAUUCAUAUUUUUCUUAAUUUUCUGACUCCUUUUAUUGCAUGACAAAACUGCAAGUUCAGUGCUCCACGUUCCAGGGUAUGUUGCAUAAGAAAAAAGCUGUCACUAAGAAAGUUCACUGAAUGCAUAGAGGAUGUUAUCCAUAAUGGAAAUUUAUCGAAACGUGUAUAAAUAAUAUAUAACUAGAACACUACUCAACUUGUGAUUAGACUGAUCCCAGCUCAUCUACUCAGAAAUGAUCCAGAGGAAGAAGAAAAACACAAAGAGGGCAAAAGAGACACAAAGACAAAUCUGCUUGACUACCACACAGGGAUGUCUAGGACCAUGGCAAAGUAUCCUAAGGCCCCAGAACAUGUGAGAAAAAUCAGACACCUGCUGAAUGCCUGGCAGUGUUCUGUAGCAUAAUGGUGGAGAUAACCAGAGGACACAGUUCCUUCAUAGAGGAACUUAUGAUGCAAUGGCUCCAAAGACGCAGCUUCUCCUCCCCACCUUAUAUUAUUGCCAAUGCUUAGCCCUUAGGAGAAGUUGGAUGUGGAAUGCAGGGAGCAGGCACUGAUGGUUCCUCACAUCAUCAGGGUUAACACAGCACAGCCAACUAUUCACCAUCAUUCUAUCACACCAAUGGAGAGAGACCAGGAAGGGGCACUGUGAUAUAAGAAGCUCAACUUGCCUUAGCAAUUCCACACCCUAAGGUUGGAAGACCCAACCUUGGGUGACUUGUUGCCUGGAUGGUGUAAAGGGCAAAUGAAAAAGGAUGGAUCUGCUUCUGUUUCUUCAGAGGAGCUCUAGUCUUCACCUUCACCUUGGACAUCAUCUCCUGGCUUCCAGUGCUGAUUCUUCAGCUUCUGGUGCAGAGCCUUCAGCCUUCCACUGCAGACCCAUCGACCUCCGGAUUCAGACUCACACAGAACACUGCAGUGAGCUCCAGACCUUCGACUGAAUCCUUCGGUCUCCAGUGUGCAGACAGACCCCCUGCACUCUUCCACAUCCGACUCUGUGGGUGGUCAUUGUAAGCCGAUCUUGCAAAUUCUUAAAUAUUUGUAUAUCUUGUGUUAUAUCUGUUUCACUAGUAAACACUGACUGAUACAAAUUUUGGUACUGGGAGUGGCACUAGAAAAACAGAAUUGUAAAGAUGAAAUUCUUUAAUGGCUUUAGGGGUUCCUGGAGUUGGUGCUCUAAUUUGAUGACACCUAAAGACGCCAUGGUCUCCUAAUUCUAUGGGGAACACUGACAGUCCUUGAUGUAAACUGUUUAAAGUAAUAUGCAGUGAAGUUCCAUUGGAUUAUCCUGAUUUGAGUAGGAUUUGAUUACCACUUUUAGCAACUCCAUUUUUGGCAGAGUGGGAAACAUAAUGAUGCUGGCUGGUUGGUCUUACCAUCUCUGGACAAACUAGUGAAGGAAAGCAGUGACUUCAAAACAUCCAUAGGAAAUCUAAAUUCUUUUGACUGGGACAAAUUAAAAAUAAAGGAGUCCAAAGAUUUAAAUUUCUUAUGUGUCUGACGCUGGGAAUUUAAAAGUUUCUAAUCGUGUCCUGAAAGAAAAUCCCCUCUCUUUUUUAGCUGCAGGGCUGAGAUUCCAGAAACUCAAACACAGGCCCUCAUAAUUCAAUUGGCUGAACUGCAGUGUAAGUUUAAUGCUCAGCUUCAAAGGGCAUCUGAAGCAAAGGUGAGGGCACUGAUUGGAAAAUAAUGGGAUCCCAUAAAAUGAGACCCAGAGAUGUUUGAGAGGAAUCCUGAUGAAGCUGAGGAUGUUGUGUUUCUAGAGGCUAAUGAGAUUAUUUUGCAAGAGAAAAAGAUUUACCCACUGACAGUGGUGGAGGCACCCCUACCCCUUGUGGUGCUGGCCUCUCCUAGUAUACCUGAGGACACUAAGCCUGUGUUGACCAAGCAUGAUAAUGCCAACGCUCCUCAGAACCCACCUUCGCCACCCACGUUUGCCUCUAGUCCUGUAAUCAGGCUCAAGUCAGAAGGGUCCUAAGGGUGAGGUCCAUAGUGUGACCCAUGAGGGAGGAUGUCUGCUGUUCUCCCAAAGAACUUCUUGAGUUUUCUAACUCUUAUAACCAGAGGCCUCCUGAACAAGUUACAGGUGUAGGAUAAUGGUGGCAAAACUAUACACUUGGACCAGGCUGAGUUUGUUGAUAUGGCCCGGUCAAGCAGGGAUCCUGAAUUUAAUCUUGUGGCUCGUGGAGUAAAGAAAGGUGUUAGUAGUGUAUUUGGCUUGCUGGCGGAAAUAUAGAUCAAAAGGUGGCCCACUGUGAAUGAGUUAGAGAUGCCCGAUAUGCCAUGGUUUUCUGUUGAUGAGGGGAUUCCAGAGGCUCAGGGAAAUGAGAAUGCUGGAGUGGUUCUGUCAUGUUAAACCCAAUCCUCCACACUGGGGUGAUCCAGAAAAUGUACCCUUCACUAACAUCUUGAGAAACAGAUUUGUGAGGAGAGCACUGGCACCCCUGAAGAGCCCUGUCAUUGCUCUUCUCUGCGUGCCAGGCCUUACAGUGGGGACCGAGGUUACUCAAUUGGGACAUUUAAGGGCAAUGGCUUGACUGGAUCCUGGAGUGAGAGAGGGCCAAGUGGCAGCACUUAAUCACCGAAGGCAGCAAUAGACAACAGAAGCAGAACGAUGUCCAGAAUGGUCUGACACGUCUAGACGUAUGGCAUUGGCUGAUCAACCAUGUGUUCCCAAUUUACUAGAUUUAUAUAAUUGAAAAAAUUAAAGGGCAAAUGAACACAAACCUACUUCAAGUCAUGGUAACAAGGAAUUAUGACCCCUCAACCAGUUCCCAAAUUUGAGCCAGUUUAUGCCCUCUUUGAGAAAUGUCCAAAAAUGGGAUGAAUAAGAGAGCCCAAAGUCCUAGAUCUUAUCCUUUGAAACCUUCAAUUCUACAGUAAGGGCAUCAUUUGGUCAUGGAACCGAGGACAAAUGACCUUCAGAGAUGACUGAAUAUCUGCUUUUACCAAUGGGAAAUCCUCACGGGCAUUGUGAGCAUCAUUUGUUACACAGAAUCAUGGACAGGGAAGGAAGACACUUUGCCCUGAGUUAAAGGUUGUACAUUUUCUGGCACUUUAAAUAUUCUGGCCUCCCACGAAACAUGUCAAGCACAUGAAAGCAGUCUGAACCCCCUCUGCUGCCUUGGCUUCAAAUGAUUGCAGAUCUUUGCCAAAGACCGGCUCUCGACCACUCUCAACCUGCUGAUCACACCCUGGCUCUGCUCUCACAAGCUUAACUCCUGCUUUUGGUUCUGUGAUUGCUGUUUCCGACUUAGAGGAAGCAUCCUGGCUCAUAGAUCUCCUGGCUAGACCCACCCUCUCUCUUCAACCCUCCCUUCCUUCCCCUGGGCCUGUCACCGAGGAGGGGACUGGCUGAGAGUUGGCACUCCUCGUUGUCCUCUGAUGCUAUGUUCCCUCCUCCCCCACGAUGGCAGCAACUUAGCACAAAGAAAAGGAGCAAGUUAAUAUUUCCCACAAUCUGGGGGAGAAGGAAGGGUCUUUCUAGUUUGAUAAUGUUUGGAAACACUAGUUUUCAAGGUGUAAAUCAAUACAUCAUUAUUUAAUGACAGUCUAGAAUGGAGAAAGAUAAAUGACAUAAAAACCCUUAGAAUUUACUAUCUUGCUGCUAUUGUUACCACUGAUUAUUAAAGUUUUCAAAAAUCACAUCACAGGAUCUUACAAUCUUAAAAGAAUAAAAGUCCAGAGAUAAUGUAAUCUUCAUAAAUUAUUUUCAAGAGCCAUCCAAUUGUGUUAAGCUUUUGCAAAGUGCAUUAAAAUUCUAAUUCUUUCGAAAUGAAUUUGGAACAUUUACGAUGAACACACCAUAUUAUUUUGGUUGAUUUGGUCUACCUGUGAAAAAGCAAAGUAGUCCAGCCACUGAUUUAGAAUUAUGUGGAUGCCACCAGAAAAGUAAUCAAACUGAUAAUUUAAGGUUAUAAGAAUACCCUAAGAAAAGUAAUCAGCAACAUUGUCCACUUUUCAAUGAUUACACAAACACAAUUCUAUUAAGUCCAUCAACCAAAAAGGAAAAAAAAAUCUUUAUAUCUCUCUUCUCCAUUGUACUGGAAGGCUGGUAAAAAGAACCUCAGAAGAGAAAAGAAACAGCUAUUAAAAAGUUGAAUUCCUGUCUACACAGGGCCAAAACAUCUAGUGGCCCAGCUGUUUGGCACUGCAUAGACAAAGCAUCCAGAUGACUGGCUGAACGUGUGAAAAAAUUGCUGAAGUGGACCAGAUGUUUUGCUUCUCAGGGCUUUUGGGCCCCGUGGUCCUUGGAGACAUCAAGAGAAAGCACAUGUCCCCAUGGGACCUAUGACACCUGUGUAGUCCCUGGAGACCACAGUGGGGUCUCCAUUGCAAACCUCAAGGCCUACCAUAGGGAAAUCUAUGGGCAGGCACUGAGGGACACGAUGUGCUCUUUGAGCUCCCUGCUGUGGGAAGUCACUGAGUCACAUCUAUCUUGAGGCACUGUGGUUGAAUUUCCAAACAUUUCCCCUCGGGACUUUCUCUUGCAACCCAAGCUCCAGGCUCUCCUUUCCCAGCCCCAGUGCUGUGGGCUUUUUAUAGCCAACAGUCAAAGCUGAAAUCUAGAACUCUAUUUUUCUCCAUGUACCCCUUACCUACCCCUUUCUGUGUGUGCAAAGUGGGAAAGGGAAAAUCAGAAUCCUGCCCAGUGUCCUUCCACAACCGCCCCAAAGCCCAGCACUAGACACAACAAAACCAAGUGAGAAGGGACAUCCAGCCCCACAGGGCACAGACACCACGGGGCUGGAGCACACAGGGUUAGCAGCACUGGGAGGUGACUUGACAGGGUGGGUCAGAACCACAGAAUCGGGGGAGUCCAGUCCCACACAUUUCUUUGAAACGGUGUCUUAAGGAAACUGAGGCCAGCGGGCAGGGAGACCUCUCCCCAUCGUGUGAUUACUCAGCUCCCAACUGCAUCCCCCAAACAGCCUGGGCUUCCAGCAGAAAGCUGUGCUGUGCAAUUACUCUGUUAUAUAACUUUUGUUUUCAGAGAAGGGAUUUGUUUUGUUUCUUUUCUGGAAAGCAAUUUUUAAAGAUUUCCUUUAUGUCAAUGUUUUCGGAGGCCUUCCCUGGGACAGUGUGCUGUUUUUCUAAAAAGAAAAA
rnacentral:lncRNA from 1 species